rnacentral:misc_RNA from 1 species
AAUCCAAUCAAGCCUGGCUUGGUAUUGGGCGUCGGGGUUUCUCCCGCGCCUCAAUUUCACCGGCUGGCCGUCGCCUGUCUUAGCGUUGUGAGACACUUCUCGCUAUCGACGGGGCCGGACCACGCCGUUACAACCCCAUGAAUUUCAAUCGAAAUUCGAUUAA